rnacentral:rRNA from 1 species
UACGUAGGGACCAAGCGUUGUUCGGAUUUACUGGGCGUAAAGGGCGCGUAGGCGGCAAUUCAAGUCAUCUGUGAAAUCUCCGGGCUUAACUCGGAAUGGUCAGGUGAUACUGCUUUGCUAGAGUGCAGAAGGGGCAAUCGGAAUUCUUGGUGUAGCGGUGAAAUGCGUAGAUAUCAAGAGGAACACCUGAGGUGAAGACGGGUUGCUGGGCUGACACUGACGCUGAGACGCGAAAGCUAGGGGAGCAAACGGG